GGGGAUAUAGCUCAGUUGGUAGAGUGCUUGCCUUGCAUGCACAAAGCCCUGGGUUCAAUUCCCUAGCACCA
rnacentral:tRNA from 1 species